AAUUUUGGACAAUGGGGGAAACCCUGAUCCAGCCAUCCCGCGUGAAUGAUGAAGGCCUUCGGGUUGUAACGUACUUUUGGCAGAGAAGAAAAGGUAUAUCCUACUCCGAGAUACUGCUGACGGUAUCUGCAGAUUAAGCACCGGCUAACUACGUGACCGCAGCCGCGUGCAUACGGAGUGACCAGGAGUUAAUCGGAAUUACUGGGCGUAAAGCGUGUGUAGGCGGUUCGGAAAGAAAGAUGUGAAAUCCCAGGGCUCAACCUUGGAACUGCAUUUUUAACUGCCGAGCUAGAGUAUGUCAGAGGGGGGUAGAAUUCCACGUGUAGCAGUGAAAUGCGUAGAUAUGUGGAGGAAUACCGAUGGCGAAGGCAGCCCCCUGGGAUAAUACUGACGCUCAGACACGAAAGCGUGGGGAGCAAACAGG
rnacentral:rRNA from 1 species